ACAUGCCUUUUCUUCUUUCUUACUUAUUUGUUGCAUAAUCUGCCCUUGUUUCAUCUUCAUGUCUAUUUUUACAGUGAUGGACAUCAGGAUCUUCAAACCUAAAUGAUGAUGUUUCAGAGGGAUGUUUGUACUAGGGCUGGGCAAUUAAUAUAAUUUUGAUCGCGAUUUUCCAAACUAAUAUAAUCCAGUUUACAUUUAUUCAUGAAAUAGCUGGAUACAUUGUUGUAUGUAUUAUUUUCUAUUUGAACAUUCUGUGUUUUUUUUGGAGAUAAAUGCUGAAUAAAUGCAUAUUGUUUUCAAACUCAAAAAUAAUCGUUUGAAUAAUCGUGAUUUCAAUUUUGGCAAAUAAUCGUUUGAAUAAUCGUGAUUUAGAUUUUUUCCAUAGUCAAGCAGACCUUGUACUUACUCAAAGUCUGAAACACCGUCACUUCACCUGUCGCACUGUGAGCAUGCAGUGAUUGGUUACUGCCCCGGCCACCUGAGUUCAUGGUGAUUCGUGGCUUCUUGGCUUCGUACCGAGGAGUGUAAAAAUAACAUUCAAUUGGAUUGCAGGAUUAGAAAGAAAUCGAUUAGACUGAAGUUACAUGACAUUGAAAUAGAUUUCAUCAAAACAUUGUUUCCUUAUACUUGCAGUUGCUGCACACCUUUUCAUAAACCUUAAUAACACUUUCUUAACACUUAAUUAACAUUAACACUCAACAUUAUGGGUUUGUGGUCUGAGCUACCUAGACUACAUGAUGUGUGACGUGGAGGCAUCUUCUUCAUGCAGCUCGUUAAAGAAGCGUAACAUGUAAUAGACAGCCAACACAGGAACAUAAUCCUAAUGACGUUUAUUUGGAACCACAAUUAAAUAUCAUAUUGUGAAGGGUCUACUCUACGCAAACGGAGCGAAGGCUGUCCAAAAGCAAUUAAAGACAGGAUUACCGGCUGGGCCUCAAAAUGGGCUGUAAAAAAAACAACAAAAGACGGAGCUACCGGGUCUUAUCCACCACAAGCAUUGAUCUGAAUAACUAUAAUGACUAUUCUAACUAAUAACUAGAUA